GAGAGAGAGAGUGUGAGUGUGUGAGAGGUCAAGCAAGAAAUUGAAGGUUUUAGGUCACACGCUAUCGUUCGCCUGAUCUAUCUGAAUUGUCUGCAUUAUUUGAUCUGCUAGUGGAGCCAUCUGCUUUUGCCGGCCCCUCCUACUGUAUAAUUGCUAUUACUGUUAAGCAGGCCUUUGGUGAUCACGGAUUACUGGCCGGUUACGAUGCUGAACCCUUAGGGGCAAGUUUGGGUCGCGACAGUUGCGUGUCUCAAAAGAUGCAGCUAUGGGUAUAGAUCAACUGAGAGCGAGGUUAUGGGAUCAAAUUUGGGAUGAGUUCAAUUAACUCUUAGGUUAUCAGAGCGAUCGAAUCAGCUCAGGUCUGAUGCAUCGAUGGUCCACCAAUCAAUCUCACCUUAACAAAUAUUCUGGAUUUGUUCGCACAAUAGAGAGGACUCCGACUAGUGGCUAUAACCUUGAAGAUUUGGUAAGAAUCAUUUUUGUUUUAGCUCCACUCUGUAUGCUCAACGACCGCGGACGACAACCUUUACGACCAGGCCUCAUGGGACAUUCGGGAGGACAUUUGAGGGGGACAAUCAUCAAGAAUAAAGGUGGGUGUAAAUAGAUGGAUGUAAAUAGUUGCCAAAUAAAGAUAAAACAAAGAUGGGUCUUCUUGAUUGCUCUUAAAUAUUCAUUCAUAUAUGAAGUUCUUUGUUUUUCUAGAUAAACAAAGCACCUGUACUUCAUCUUUCUCCAGAUUCUGAAACAUAAUGGGUUGUGGCUUUGAGUCUGGUUGUCAAUUAUUAGAGGAACAGACGAGACACUGUUGUGGUUAAGAUUAA